ACAUUGCCACUAUCAUGCGUGAAGCUAUAUUCUAUUAGGAGAUCCCUAAAAAGUGAUCCACUUAUCCACAUAAAAGAUGAUAAUUUAUCCUACUCUGUAAACUAUACGCCGCAAAGAGCUACUGAAUAUUAUAUUCCAUCUCACUCUUUUUGUCUAUCCUAUAGUGGUCAUGUUGGAGUUCAUAUACCUUUUAAGGAUGGCAACCCAUG
rnacentral:lncRNA from 1 species